AAUGACUCAGCGCAGUAUGAAGUCUUUGUUUUCUUCCGAAAACAAGCUCAAUGAGAGCCAUCGGGGGUAGAUCUAUCUCAUGACGAGUGGUGGAAUACUUUGACUCAUGAGAGAGAAGCUGAGGCGAAGGCGUCUACCUAGAGGGUUUCUGUCGAUCAAGGGCGAGAGUAGGAGUAUCCAACAGGAUUAGAGACCCUGGUAGUUCCUACCUUAAACGAUGCCGACAGGAGUUUGUCAUUUGUUAAUGGCAGAAUCUUUGGAGAAAUCAUAGUUCUUGGGCUCUGGGGGAACUACGACCGCAAGGCUGAAACUUGAAGGAAUUGACGGAAGGGCACACCAGGGGUGGAGCCUGUGGCUUAAUUUGAAUCAACACGGGGAAACUUACCAGGACCAGAUGUUUUUUAUGACUGACAGGCUUCGGGUCUUUCAGGAUAUUGUUUUUGGUGGUGCAUGGCCGUUGGUGGUGCGUGGGUUGACCUGUCUAGCGUUGAUUCAGCUAACGAGCGAGAUUAUCGCCAAUUAUUUACUUUGCCGAAGUCCUUCGGUUAAAGUUCUAAUUGGGACUCCCUGCGAUUUUAGCAGGUGGAAGAGGGUAGCAAUAACAGGUCCGUGAUGCCCUUUAGAUGCUCUGGGCUGCACGCGUGCUACAAUGUUAGGAUCAAUAGGACUGCGAGCCUGAGAGGGUGCGCUACUCUUAUAAUCCCUAACGUAGUUGGGAUUGACGUUUGUAAUCAGCGUCAUGAACCAGGAAUCCCUUGUAAAUGUGUGUCAACAACGCACGUUGAAUACGUCCCUGCCCUUUGUACACACCGCCCGUCGCUCCUACCGAUUGGAUGACUCGGUGAAAUCACCGGAUGCUUACGAGCAGAAAGUGAUUAAAUCACGUUAUCUAGAGGAAAGAGAA
rnacentral:ncRNA from 2 species